AACGAACGCUGGCGGCAGGCUUAACACAUGCAAGUCGAGCGAGACCUUCGGGUCUAGCGGCGGACGGGUGAGUAACGCGUGGGAACGUGCCCUUCUCUACGGAAUAGCCCCGGGAAACUGGGAGUAAUACCGUAUACGCCCUUUGGGGGAAAGAUUUAUCGGAGAAGGAUCGGCCCGCGUUGGAUUAGGUAGUUGGUGGGGUAAUGGCCCACCAAGCCGACGAUCCAUAGCUGGUUUGAGAGGAUGAUCAGCCACACUGGGACUGAGACACGGCCCAGACUCCUACGGGAGGCAGCAGUGGGGAAUCUUAGACAAUGGGGGCAACCCUGAUCUAGCCAUGCCGCGUGAGUGAUGAAGGCCUUAGGGUUGUAAAGCUCUUCCAGCUGGGAAGAUAAUGACGGUACCAGCAGAAGAAGCCCCGGCUAACUCCGUG
rnacentral:rRNA from 1 species